rnacentral:rRNA from 1 species
GAUGAACGCUGGCGGCGUGCCUAAUACAUGCAAGUCGAGCGAAUGGAUUGAGAGCUUGCUCUUAUGAAGUUAGCGGCGGACGGGUGAGUAACACGUGGGUAACCUGCCCAUAAGACUGGGAUAACUCCGGGAAACCGGGGCUAAUACCGGAUAACAUUUUGAACCGCAUGGUUCGAAAUUGAAAGGCGGCUUCGGCUGUCACUUAUGGAUGGACCCGCGUCGCAUUAGCUAGUUGGUGAGGUAACGGCUCACCAAGGCAACGAUGCGUAGCCGACCUGGGAGGAUGCGCGGCCACACUGGAACUGAGACACGGCCCAGACUCCUACGGGAGGCAGCAGUAGGGAAUCUUCCGCAAUGGACGAAAGUCUGACGGAGCAACGCCGCGUGAGUGAUGAAGGCUUUCGGGUCGUAAAACUCUGUUGUUAGGGAAGAACAAGUGCUAGUUGAAUAAGCUGGCACCUUGACGGUACCUAACCAGAAAGCCACGGCUAACUACGUGCCAGCCGCCGCUGUAA